CAGUGCGUGAAACCGUUCAGAGGUAAACAGGUGGAGUUGAACUGCAAGCUCUGAGGAUUCAGCUGGUGAGUAUGGCAUGAGCUUGGUCAUAUUGGUUGUGUGCUCGGGUCUGCUUAGCUGCAGGUCCCCGCUUCGGUGGGGAUGCGCGAAUCACUCAUCAGGUGUUGUGCGCCCGGGUACUGACGGACCUGCUUGCCAGUGCACUUUCUCAGAGUGUUCACCACGACCGACGUUGCUGUCUGGCUGUUGCGGUUAAACCGGCUUGGUAGGGUCCUUGUGUCCUUGCUAGGUCGGGAUGGCAGGUAGCCCGUUGUGCGAUUUAUCGUGCUUCGGGUGUAAUAGCCGACUGCUUCGGUUCUGUGCGGUACGUCGGAGACGGCGGCUUGUUGUGCGUGCGGGCGUGCCUGUCGCGCCGGCGGCUCUGGGUCUGGUUGCCUUGUUGCUUGUGAAUGCAGGCCAGGUGAUGGCUCGGUGUCGUUCGGUCGGCAGCUGCGUUUGUUGCACUUUGAAAGGCCCCACAGUCUGUGGUGUAGCGGUAGACUAU
rnacentral:rRNA from 1 species